UACGGGGGGGGCAAGCGUUGUUCGGAAUUACUGGGCGUAAAGGGCUCGUAGGUGGCCAACUAAGUCAGACGUGAAAUCCCUCGGCUUAACCGGGGAACUGCGUCUGAUACUGGAUGGCUUGAGUUCGGGAGAGGGAUGCGGAAUUCCAGGUGUAGCGGUGAAACGCGUAGAUAUCUGGAGGAACACCGGUGGCGAAGGCGGCAUCCUGGACCGAUACUGACGCUGAGGAGCGAAAGCCAGGGGAGCAAACGGG
rnacentral:rRNA from 1 species